rnacentral:rRNA from 1 species
AACGAACGCUGGCGGCAGGCCUAACACAUGCAAGUCGAACGCCCUAGCAAUAGGGAGUGGCAGACGGGUGAGUAACACGUGGGAACCUUCCCUAUAGUACGGAAUAUACCAGGGAAACUUGGAGCAAUACCGUAUACGCCCGAGAGGGGAAAGAUUUAUCGCUAUAGGAUGGGCCCGCGUAGGAUUAGCUAGUUGGUGAGGUAAUGGCUCACCAAGGCGACGAUCCUUAGCUGGUGAGAGAACGACCAGCCACACUGGGACUGAGACACGGCCCAGACUCCUACGGGAGGCAGCAGUGGGGAAUAUUGGACAAUGGGCGCAAGCCUGAUCCAGCCAUGCCGCGUGAGUGAUGAAGGCCUUAGGGUUGUAAAGCUCUUUUGCCGGGACGAUAAUGACGGUACCCGGAGAAUAAGUCCGCU